CUGUAUAUCAAUGUAACGGAGGUAUCCAGCACAGCACCUGGGAAGCUCUCACCAAUUCCUGAGCUGGAUCCUUGGGAGAGAGAAACAGAAACGGGCUCGACAGAAUUCACAUACUCCUUAUGCUCAGUGGACAGGUACAGCACUGCCUCCUCUUCCAGCAGCUCCCUAUCUGACUCCCAGGAGAGAGGAGAACUCUGUGCCGGGAUUGUGCUGAAUUGUCUCUUCUGCCGAUUCUACGACUUGUUCCUCAUGCUACCUGAAACAUGCGAGCGAGCUGCUAACUCCAUCUGCCCUGCCUACAUGCUUUUCUCACCACCUGCGGAACCUGCGCAUAAUAACACAAGUCAUGAUGUAAGGACUGCUGUUUCCGGGUCCAAGCCUCUACUCAUUUCACUUGAGAAUACUAUCUCAGCAGCCAUUUAUGAGCACUAUUUAAAUUAAUAUUACAUAUUUAAGCUAAGCGUUUAAAAAUUUGCUGUGCACACUACAGGCUCCAUGCUCACAGUGUCUCAGACACUAAUAUUUUAGCUGAAUCACUGUCAGGCCAUCUGGGAUUUCAGUAUGGAGAUAAAGGUUAGGGUUAUAAUUUUUCAGUAUUACAUGACAUCAUAGGUGUGUAUAUGCACAGUUUGUUGUUUUUUGGGGGACGUCUGGUAGAGCGUUAGGACCCAGAGGCGGUGAAGCAUGAUGUCAGACAUAACAAGCAGGUAUUCUUAAAGGGGUCCUAUUAUGCUUUUUCACUUUUUGAAUUUUAGUCAAUAGGGCAUAAAAAAGAUCUACCAAGUUACAAAUCUCAAAGUCCACUCCAAAGGGAGAUAUUUCGUUUUCAAAAAAAUCCCUUUUCAAGAACUACAACGAAUGGCUCGUUUGGACUACAGCGUUUGUUUUCCGGGUUUUGUGAUAUCACAAAGCGGGCCAUUAGAAUAUCAUUAAAAUAAUUCCAGCCUACGGAAAUUAGAAUGGUUGGGGGAUGGGGAGCUGCGAGGUCAUGGUUAGAAUGCUUGGUUGAGUGCAUCAGACAAGACGACGAUGCUUCAUGUUUUGUAGUAAGUAAAGUAACUUAAAAAAUUGACAGCAAUGCAUAUUUACAGUACCUUUGGAAUUUCUGAAUUUUUGAAAUAAACAUAAUACAUAUUACCGUUGCA
ensembl:lncRNA